AACGAACGCUGGCGGCAGGCUUAACACAUGCAAGUCGAGCGCCCCGCAAGGGGAGCGGCAGACGGGUGAGUAACGCGUGGGAAUCUACCCAUCACUACGGAACAACUCCGGGAAACUGGAGCUAAUACCGUAUACGUCCUUUGGGAGAAAGAUUUAUCGGUGAUGGAUGAGCCCGCGUUGGAUUAGCUAGUUGGGGGGGUAAUGGCCUACCAAGGCGACGAUCCAUAGCUGGUCUGAGAGGAUGGUCAGCCACACUGGGACUGAGACACGGCCCAGACUCCUACGGGAGGCAGCAGGGGGGAAUAUUGGACAAUGGGCGAAAGCCUGAUCCGGCCAUGCCGCGUGAGUGAUGAAGGCCUUAGGGUUGUAAAGCUCUUUCGUCGGGGAAGAUAAUGACGGUACCCGAAGAAGAAGCCUCGGCUAACUCCGUGCCAGCCGCCGCCGUAACAC
rnacentral:rRNA from 1 species